rnacentral:tRNA from 2 species
UCGGUAGUAGUUUACAAUAAAACAUAUGGAUUUGAACCAUAAAAUAUAAUUAAUAUUUUCUAUCGAU